ensembl:lncRNA
CUCAGGCUUCUAGAAGAUGACACCCAGAAUCAGCUGGCAGACGCUUUGACAACCAGCUCAUUGUGUUUACACACCAUGCAUGCACACAAUAAAGGGAUCAAGUCAUUGGUUCUACAGAAAUGAACAAUAUUACAGUGAGACAGUACUUGCUGGACGAGGGAACACAGAUACAGAAAAGUUUUCCCCCCGUCACCAUUCAGUGUUAAUCUCUUUUGCGGAUCAUCAUCUCUAUUCUGAAUGGUUUCAGUGUUCACAAACAGCUUCAUGACUCAGAGCUUUAGAACAGCUCAGUGUGUUAUUGUUAUUAUGGAAGGAACCCCACAGAGAAACGGACGUAAUAAUAAAUCUACCGGAGGCCUCGAGGAAGGGGAGGCCAAUCCGAAGGCUCCUUGACUCCCGUUUUGUGAUCAAUUAACUGACUGACUCUUUGUGUCUUCAUGUUGGAAGUGAACUGGAGGUUAAAGAGACGGCACACAUCACUUCACAUUCUUCACAUCGGUUAACGCUCAUCUCUGAGCUGCUGGAGCGGCCUCACAGAAGAUUUUAAUAUUUCAGUUAUUAUGUCGUUUCUCAUUGUAUUUUAUUUUAAUACAUUUAAAUCUUACAUCUGAGCAUUUUCAGUGACCUCUGACACUGAUCAGGUACGGCACCAGAGGCCACUGCUAUUUGUGUCGUGUACAACUGGUGAUUCAAAUGAAACAGAGAAAAGUAACAAGUCCUCAGUCACAGUAAACGCCAUCAAAUCACUCACGGUUUCAGAGAUAUGCCGACUCAAUCUCUCAUCCAAAACAAUUAUUACAAUAAAGUGUUGCAGGAAUGAGUCGGAAAACCCAUAAAAGAGUCUGCAUGUAAAAAUAUAGAAAUACGGUCAUAGUCAACACUCACCUCAGGAUAUUUUAAUGCUUUUACUAUGACAAAGUACCUAAACGUAAAUAUCCCUCUCUUGGUUGUUUUUAUUUUGUGCAAUAAUUCAAAAUCCAAGAUAUCAGAAAAAGAGUCCUGAGAGACCGGAGUCUGGAACCACAUCAGGACCUCAGGGAUCAUUGACAAUGGAAUAAGAAAUAAUCUACUACAAGCUUUCUAUAUUUGUAUGUUUGGUUCAUUCCAGCCAAAUUCUAAAUAGCCAAAAAUUAACAAAUAUUUAUGCAACAGAAGAACAACAUCUCAAACCCCUGAGAUGCCAGUGAGAAGCAUCAGAGUCUGAAAUCAUUUUCUAUGUUCAAGACCAAGGAUUGGUUGAAAUAAAUAAUUAUUCUACGUUACUUAUUUAUCAUCAUUUUUUGGGGGAAUAUUCGAGAGACUAAAGGUCAUCACUCCCCCUGUUCUCAUUUGAACUAACCGUUUUCACCUUGUCUUCUUUGUGCACUCUUAACACAAAGAACACAUUUUGCGUGGAAGGAAAAAAUGGAAGGUAAAAAGAUUAUCCUGGCGAAGCAUUUUCUUUCCCUUGUCUUGAAGUCAUAAAUAAAGCGGAUGGCAUCCUUGGUCCUAAAAAGUAAAGACAAUGAGAAAGUAUCCUGAAACUGCAUUCUCUGUAGUGACCACCAGGGGGCGACUCCUCUGGUCCCAUAGAAGUCUAUGAGAAAACGCUCUCUUCCUUAAUACAGCAUGAUGUUAUCUUAUGAGUCAACCAGUCCAAGCAGGGGAUGCGUCUACACAACCCUUUGUGUUUUCAGCUUAUUGUUAUAGUUUAUUAUAACAUUUUGGGGGCCUGAAUGUUGAAUAACACAUUGCCAUUACCUGCAUGCCUACAAUAAUGGUCAAUACAAUUAAUACUGAGUAAUGACAGUUUUUCUGGUGUAUCUUUGGGUCUAUAUACCUGCAUGCCAUUAUACUGCUGAGACCUUUGGUCACUAUCUGGUUUCUACUUUAGCCUUUCGUAGUGGACCAGCCAGAACCACUGGCUGUGCUGUCUACUCGGCAUGUGGAGCUCAGUUUUUUUGGGUUGGACCGGGGGGGCGGGGGGGGAGCAGGUACAGGUUUAUCCUGCAUGUUGAUACGUUUCUUUCCUUCACUGAAACCACCACUGGUAGCGUGUAGAGGCCGUUUGGAUCAUUUAGCGCUAUGCUAACAUUGUAGCUGGUCCAUCUAAACUCAAAAUAAUGUCUUCUAGUCACAAAGCAUCAGCAAAAUGACUGUUCACACACGUACAUUUAAACACACGAUACUUGAUCCUUGUAAUUGUCCAUUUCUGAUCCAACGUUAGUGACGAACAAUCAAAGUUCCCUUUGCGCUUGGUGGGAGCACUCCGUGAUACCGUCACCGACGUUGGCUCCAAGUCGAGUAAAGCUGAAGAUGUGCAAACAUGCGUCUGCACACGACGUCACACAACAUGUAUCAGCUGAUUCAGAUUAGGAACCUUUGCUGAC